UACUACAUAAAUACUUGAAAAACUUUAAAGGCAGGCUUAAAUUAAGAAAAAAAAUUCCUGGAAGAACAACAAUAUCAACCAACCAGAUCCCACCAGAGCUCCCAGGGACUAAGCCACAACCAAUGAGUACACAUGAAGGGACCCAUGGCUCCAGCCACCUAUGUAGCAGAGGAUGGCAUUGUCCAGCAUCAAUAGGAGGAAAACCCUUGGUCCUGUGAAGGCUCAUUUCCCCAAUGUAGGGGAAUGCCAGAGUGUUGAGGUUGGAGUGGGAGUAUCCUCGUAGAAGUAGGGGGAGAGGGAAGGGAUGACAUUUGAAAUGUAAAUACAUAAAAUAUCCGAGAAAAAUAGAAUUUAAAAAAAA
rnacentral:lncRNA from 1 species